rnacentral:rRNA from 1 species
UACGGGGGGGGCAAGCGUUGUUCGGAAUUACUGGGCGUAAAGGGUUCGUAGGUGGCCAACUAAGCCAGACGUGAAAUCCCUCAGCUUAACUGGGGAACUGCGUCUGGGACUGGAUGGCUUGAGUGCAGGAGAGGAACGCGGAAUUCCAGGUGUAGCGGUGAAAUGCGUAGAUAUCUGGAGGAACACCGGUGGCGAAGGCGGCGUUCUGGACUGCAACUGACACUGAGGAACGAAAGCCAGGGGAGCAAACGGG